UGGGGAAUUUUGGACAAUGGGCGAAAGCCUGAUCCAGCAAUGCCGCGUGUGUGAAGAAGGCCUUCGGGUUGUAAAGCACUUUUGUCCGGAAAGAAAUCCUUGGCUCUAAUGCAGUCGGGGGAUGACGGUACCGGAAGAAUAAGCACCGGCUAACUACGUGCCAGCAGCCGCGGUAAUACGUAGGGUCAAGCGUUAAUCGGAAUUACUGGGCGUAAAGCGUGCGCAGGCGGUUUGCUAAGACCGAUGUGAAAUCCCCGGGCUCAACCUGGGAACUGCAUUGGUGACUGGCAGGCUAGAGUAUGGCAGAGGGGGGUAGAAUUCCACGUGUAGCAGUGAAAUGCGUAGAGAUGUGGAGGAAUACCGAUGGCGAAGGCAGCCCCCUGGGCCAAUACUGACGCUCAUGCACGAAAGCGUGGGGAGCAAACAGGAUUAGAUACCCUGGUAGUCCACGCCCUAAACGAUGUCAACUAGUUGUUGGGGAUUCAUUUCCUUAGUAACGUAGCUAACGCGUGAAGUUGACCGCCUGGGGAGUACGGUCGCAAGAUUAAAACUUAAAGGAAUUGACGGGGUCAUAGCUGUUUCCU
rnacentral:rRNA from 1 species